rnacentral:rRNA from 1 species
UCUGGGAAAAGCCCUGGAAACGGGGUCUAAUACCGGAUAAUACUUUUCCUCUCAUGGGGGAAGGUUGAAAGCUCCGGCGGUGAAGGAUGAGCCCGCGGCCUAUCAGCUAGUUGGUGGGGUAAUGGCCUACCAAGGCGACGACGGGUAGCCGGCCUGAGAGGGCGACCGGCCACACUGGGACUGAGACACGGCCCAGACUCCUACGGGAGGCAGCAGUGGGGAAUAUUGCACAAUGGGCGAAAGCCUGAUGCAGCGACGCCGCGUGAGGGAUGACGGCCUUCGGGUUGUAAACCUCUUUCAGCAGGGAAGAAGCGAAAGUGACGGUACCUGCAGAAGAAGCGCCGGCUAACUACGUGCCAGCAGCCGCGGUAAUACGUAGGGCGCAAGCGUUGUCCGGAAUUAUUGGGCGUAAAGAGCUCGUAGGCGGCUUGUUGCGUCGGUUGUGAAAGCCCGGGGCUUAACCCCGGGUCUGCAGUCGAUACGGGCAGGCUAGAGUGUGGUAGGGGAGAUCGGAAUUCCUGGUGUAGCGGUGAAAUGCGCAGAUAUCAGGAGGAACACCGGUGGCGAAGGCGGAUCUCUGGGCCAUUACUGACGCUGAGGAGCGAAAGCGUGGGGAGCGAACAGGAUUAGAUACCCUGGUAGUCCACGCCGUAAACGUUGGGAACUAGGUGUUGGCGACAUUCCACGUCGUCGGUGCCGCAGCUAACGCAUUAAGUUCCCCGCCUGG